rnacentral:rRNA from 1 species
UACAGAGAGUGCAAGCGUUAAUCGGAAUUACUGGGCGUAAAGCGCGCGUAGGUGGGUAUUUAAGUCGGAUGUGAAAUCCCUGGGCUUAACCUGGGAAUUGCAUCCGAUACUGAGUAUAUAGAGUAUGGUAGAGGGAAGUGGAAUUUCCGGUGUAGCGGUGAAAUGCGUAGAUAUCGGAAAGAACACCAGUGGCAAAAGCGGCUUCCUGGACUAAUACUGACACUGAGGCGCGAAAGCGUGGGGAGCAAACAGG